AGCGAACGCUGGCGGCAGGCCUAACACAUGCAAGUCGAACGAACCCUUCGGGGUUAGUGGCGGACGGGUGAGUAACACGUGGGAACGUGCCUUUAGGUUCGGAAUAACUCAGGGAAACUUGUGCUAAUACCGAAUGUGCCCUUCGGGGGAAAGAUUUCUCGCCUUUAGAGCGGCCCGCGUCUGAUUAGCUAGUUGGUGAGGUAAUGGCUCACCAAGGCUACGAUCAGUAGCUGGUCUGAGAGGAUGACCAGCCACAUUGGGACUGAGACACGGCCCAACCUCCUACGGGAGGCAGCAGUGGGGGAUCUUGCGCAAUGGGCGAAAGCCUGACGCAGCCAUGCCGCGUGGAUGAUGAAGGUCUUAGGAUUGUAAAAUCCUUUCACCGGUGAAGAUAAUGACUGUAGCCGGAGAAGAAGCCCCGGCUAACUUCGUGCCAGCAGCCGCGGUAAAAC
rnacentral:rRNA from 1 species